rnacentral:rRNA from 1 species
AGAGUUUGAUCAUGGCUCAGAUUGAACGCUGGCGGCAGGCCUAACACAUGCAAGUCGAGCGGUAGCACAGAGAGCUUGCUCUCGGGUGACGAGCGGCGGACGGGUGAGUAAUGUCUGGGAAACUGCCUGAUGGAGGGGGAUAACUACUGGAAACGGUAGCUAAUACCGCAUAAUGUCGCAAGACCAAAGUGGGGGACCUUCGGGCCUCAUGCCAUCAGAUGUGCCCAGAUGGGAUUAGCUAGUAGGUGGGGUAACGGCUCACCUAGGCGACGAUCCCUAGCUGGUCUGAGAGGAUGACCAGCCACACUGGAACUGAGACACGGUCCAGACUCCUACGGGAGGCAGCAGUGGGGAAUAUUGCACAAUGGGCGCAAGCCUGAUGCAGCCAUGCCGCGUGUGUGAAGAAGGCCUUCGGGUUGUAAAGCACUUUCAGCGGGGAGGAAGGCGGUGAGGUUAAUAACCUCAUCGAUUGACGUUACCCGCAGAAGAAGCACCGGCUAACUCCGUGCCAGCAGCCGCGGUAAUACGGAGGGUGCAAGCGUUAAUCGGAAUUACUGGGCGUAAAGCGCACGCAGGCGGUCUGUCAAGUCGGAUGUGAAAUCCCCGGGCUCAACCUGGGAACUGCAUUCGAAACUGGCAGGCUAGAGUCUUGUAGAGGGGGUAGAAUUCCAGGUGUAGCGGUGAAAUGCGUAGAGAUCUGGAGGAAUACCGGUGGCGAAGGCGGCCCCCUGGACAAAGACUGACGCUCAGGUGCGAAAGCGUGGGGAGCAAACAGGAUUAGAUACCCUGGUAGUCCACGCCGUAAACGAUGUCGAUUUGGAGGUUGUGCCCUUGAGGCGUGGCUUCCGGAGCUAACGCGUUAAAUCGACCGCCUGGGGAGUACGGCCGCAAGGUUAAAACUCAAAUGAAUUGACGGGGGCCCGCACAAGCGGUGGAGCAUGUGGUUUAAUUCGAUGCAACGCGAAGAACCUUACCUGGUCUUGACAUCCACAGAACUUUCCAGAGAUGGAUUGGUGCCUUCGGGAACUGUGAGACAGGUGCUGCAUGGCUGUCGUCAGCUCGUGUUGUGAAAUGUUGGGUUAAGUCCCGCAACGAGCGCAACCCUUAUCCUUUGUUGCCAGCGGUUCGGCCGGGAACUCAAAGGAGACUGCCAGUGAUAAACUGGAGGAAGGUGGGGAUGACGUCAAGUCAUCAUGGCCCUUACGACCAGGGCUACACACGUGCUACAAUGGCAUAUACAAAGAGAAGCGACCUCGCGAGAGCAAGCGGACCUCAUAAAGUAUGUCGUAGUCCGGAUUGGAGUCUGCAACUCGACUCCAUGAAGUCGGAAUCGCUAGUAAUCGUAGAUCAGAAUGCUACGGUGAAUACGUUCCCGGGCCUUGUACACACCGCCCGUCACACCAUGGGAGUGGGUUGCAAAAGAAGUAGGUAGCUUAACCUUCGGGAGGGCGCUUACCACUUUGUGAUUCAUGACUGGGGUGAAGUCGUAACAAGGUAACCGUAGGGGAACCUGCGGUUGGAUCACCU